CAAUGAAGGAAGCAUGGUAAUGUGCACAUAAAUUGAAUUGGGUUUCUAGGCCUGUCCUCUCUGAUGCCAUGUGGCUUUGAUUUUGGGGCAUGGUUCGACAGCAAAACA